AUUGAACGCUGGCGGCAGGCUUAACACAUGCAAGUCGAGCGGGGGAAGGUAGCUUGCUACCGGACCUAGCGGCGGACGGGUGGGUAAUGCUUAGGAAUCUGCCUAUUAGUGGGGGACAACAUCUCGAAAGGGAUGCUAAUACCGCAUACGUCCUACGGGAGAAAGCAGGGGAUCUUCGGACCUUGCACUAAUAGAUGAGCCUAAGUCGGAUUAGCUAGUUGGUGGGGUAAAGGCCUACCAAGGCGACGAUCUGUAGCGGGUCUGAGAGGAUGAUCCGCCACACUGGGACUGAGACACGGCCCUGACUCCGACGGGAGGCAGCAGUGGGGAAUAUUGGACAAUGGGCGGAACCCUGAUCCAGCCAUGCCGCGUGUGUGAAGAAGGCCUUAUGGUUGUAAAGCACUUUAAGCGAGGAGGAGGCUACUCUAGUUAAUACCUAGGGAUAGUGGACGUUACUCGCAGAAUAAGCACCGGCUAACUCUGUGCCAGCCGCCGCCGUAA
rnacentral:rRNA from 1 species